UACGUAGGGGGCAAGCGUUGUCCGGAAUCAUUGGGCGUAAAGAGCGUGUAGGCGGCCCGAUAAGUCCGCGGUGAAAGUCCAGGGCUCAACCUCGAGACGCCGAUGGAAACCAAUUGGCUAGAGUCCGGAAGAGGAGAGUGGAAUUCCCGGUGUAGCGGUGAAAUGCGCAGAUAUCAGGAAGAACACCCGUGGCGAAGGCGGCUCUCUGGGACGGUACUGACGCUGAGACGCGAAAGCGUGGGGAGCGAACAGG
rnacentral:rRNA from 1 species